rnacentral:ribozyme from 1 species
UGCCCAGCACUCCUAUCCCUACCUCCUCGUGGUACUGGCCGGGGUACGAGCAACCUUAGGAAAGGUCGGGUAACCAACCCCGGUGUCGUAUGCUGACAGGGAAGG